rnacentral:tRNA from 1 species
UCCUGGGUGGCACAAAUUAAUGCUCUUGGCUGCUAACCAAAAGAUUGGAGGUUCAAGUCCAUCCUGAGGCA